AGGUUUAUAUACUGUGUCCAUGUUGCUAUUUACUUAUUUUUGGUGCUCACGAAGAUCGUAGCCAAUACACUUGUCUCUCUGUCUCUAGCCCUGCAGAACUAGCUGGCUCCUUCUCACCCUCUCCAUCUCCCCAUCUCAGUCACACCUUCCAAUCACUAAGCAGUGAAAGCCCUGCAGGACUAGCUGGCACACCAAGCUCACCCUCUGCAUCUCCCCAUCUCAGCCACACGCUCCAAUCUGGCACAACAGAGGACAGGCCAUUCUUACCACCCGAAGUCCUUCAGCAAAUUGUACAAGAGACGCUGAGACUGGACAUGGCGAUGCUUGGCGUGUUCAACAGGGUUUCAAACACAUUCCGAGAACUAAUCAAGCCUCUCCAUCCUUCCAUAUAUAUAAAUGACAGUUUGGCAGGGGACAUUAAGCUUAAUAAAGACAAUCUCAUAUACAUAACGGUUAGAAAGAUUUACAACAAUGCAGGCUGUGGCAGUGGCCUUGCGCUACGCCUCAAA